UACGAAGGGGGCUAGCGUCGCUCGGAAUGACUGGGCGUAAAGGGCGCGUAGGCGGAUGGUACAGUCAGAUGUGAAAUUCCUGGGCUUAACCUGGGGGCUGCAUUUGAUACGUGUUGUCUAGAGUGAGGAAGAGGGUCGUGGAAUUCCCAGUGUAGAGGUGAAAUUCGUAGAUAUUGGGAAGAACACCGGUGGCGAAGGCGGCGACCUGGUCCUUUACUGACGCUGAGGCGCGAAAGCGUGGGGAGCAAACAGG
rnacentral:rRNA from 1 species